AUGCAUGUCUCAGCGCAAUUGGCAUUCCACAGAGGGUCUGUGAAUGGCUCCUUACAUCAGCAGUUGUCUAUGUGAUCUGAAUGCCUGGGCUAGCCUGUCACCCUUGGGUGGCAGGGGAACCNNNNNCUGUGUGGACAUCCUCCAAAACCUUGUGGCUAAUACACACCAGAGAACCUUUUGAUCGGCCGCCGCACUGCUGUCUCUCAAGACACAGGGCAAUACCUCACCAGAGCAAAGCAGGAAAGAAGCAGAGUGACCCAUGUUUCACAGUGCAGCUAAGGAAAUGGUGGCCUGGAUCGUACCCGGCUGGUAUCAAGGCCAGCAUCCGCCAAGGAUAGCCCACUUGUUGUUGACUCAGGCCGGUCCCCCCUAGCAAGUGGGGAGGAGGAGCCACCGGCAGAGAGAUUUGUGUUUGUGGGAAGGCCCUUGUGGUCAACCCCAGGCAGAGUUUGCUUGAUCACACGAGCUUCUGACCUAUCAGCUUGGUCUGUGGUGUAGAGGACCACAGUGGCUCCGACGGGUGACGGAGAAUCAGGGUUUGAUUCCGGAGAGGGAGCCUGAGAAACGGCUACCACUACCAAGGUGGGCAGCAGGCGCGCAAAUUGCCCAAUCCNAACACCCUUCCUGGGAGGCAGCGACGAACUGUAGCAAUCCCGCCAGCUCUCAGAGCUGGUGGACUUGGAAUGGAUGCAAUCCAAACACAGUGAUGAGUAUCAACUGGAGGGCAAGUCUGGUGCCAGCAGCUNCGGUAAUUCCAGCUCCAAGGNCGUAUACUAUCAUUGUUGCUGUUAAAACACCUGUAGUCUGCCACUGGGUUGUGGGUCUGCUGGGUGGCCUGGCACCCUGGGCUGUGGGGUCCUCCAGUCCCUCGGGACUGUGUGGGCCUCCUGUCUGGGGACCGUUGGGAUACAACCCCUGGCAGUAUGCUCCCACACCCAUUAUCAAGCAUCCCGGUGAUGUGAAUGCUCCUGCCGAAAGCCUCCUUCACUGGAGGCCCACAGGCGGUUUCAUCCCCAAAGCAGGUGUAGGCAAGCCUCAACCUGGGGUGGCACCCUGUGUGUCACAGCCUCCAUGGUUCCCAGGGCCUACCACCGGAGUCCAUCACCAACGACACCCUGGAAAACUCAGUGUGCUUCAAGCGUCCUGUCCGUUAUGGCUGGAUGCCCAUCCAUGGAAUGUCAGAGCAUCGACCAAGUGUGGCUAUCAGUGUUGUGCUGGCCUUGGGGCCUACUCAGGGCAACGUGGUGCAUGCCUGGUGCAAGAGUCUGCUGGUGACCAGGCCUGGCCACCCUCUUUGGAGGUGUGUGUCUGUGCCAAAUUGCUUGUCUGUGCUUCAGUACUGUGUGGCAUGUGCUGUUCGGAGAUGAUGGAACCACUCAGGGUGAAAGAUACAGCUGCGCCAGAGGUGAAAUUCUUAGACCGCCGCUAGGUCCACUGCGGCGAAGGCGUUCUGCCAGCCUGUGUUCGUCGAUCAAGGAUGAGAGUCUGGGGAGCAAAGAUGAUCAGACACCGUCGUAGUCCAGCCACUGUAAACUGUGCCAGCCAGGCCUCAGCCGGGCAACCUAUCUAUAUGAGCACCCUGCUGGGGCCAUGCCCCCUUCACCGAGAAAUCCACAGCCUGUGGGUUCAGGGGGGAGUACGGUCGCAAGGCUGAAACUUAAAGGAAUUGACGGAAUGGCACCACAAGGCGUGGAGUAUGCGGCUUAAUUUGACUCAACACGGGGAAUGUUACCAGGUCAGGACGCAGCUGGGAUGGACAGAUUGAGAGCUCUUUCUUGAUCCUGUGGAAGGUGGUGCAUGGCCGCUCCUGAUUGGUGGAGUGAUUUGUCUGGUUGAUUCCGAUAACGAGUGAGAUCUCUGCCUCCUACUAGACCAAGGCUCGCAACUGGUAGGGUCUGGCCAGGUGGGUCAAACAGCUGGGGAACCUCAGGGUGUGGUGGCUCAGGCUGCUGCUCCCUGCCCCAGCUGCCCCUGGCUGCCCGAGAGCCUUUGGGUGAUGCUUCUUUGAGGUGCUGUGUCCGUCUGCCAAGGGCAAGCAUGCUAGAGCCAACAGCAGGUCUGUGAUGCUCCCAGAUGUCCUGGGCCGCACGCGCACUACACUGGUGCAGUGAAGGAGUCUACAGUGCCCACCCUUUCAGUGGGCCCUGGUCAGAAGUGACUGGGAAAUCCUGGGAGUCUGCCCAACCGUGCUGGGGAUAGAUGAUUGCAACUGUCUGCCUUGAACGUGGAAUGCCUAGUAGGCGUUGGUCAUCAGCCAACACCGAUUGUGUCCCUGCCAUUUGUACACACCGCCCGUCGUUGCUACCGAUGGUGGCUGGAUAGAACCAUCAGGAGGUCUGUGUGGCUGGCCCUUGUGGCCAGGCCCCCACGUCCAAAAUUGGGUGAUGUCCCGCUGCUAGAGGAAGCAAAA
rnacentral:rRNA from 1 species